AUGUGGCUGCACAGUAAGAAGAGGAAUGAAGGGAGGGAAACUGCUCAAAGGCCCCCCUGCCAUGCUGCCCUGGAAGAGGAUCAAGAUGCACAUUCGCUUCUGACUCAAUAUAAUAAGAAAAAAAAAAGCAGAGGGUCCCACAGCAGUACUGGUGGCCAUGGUUCCCGUAGCCAGAAGGAGUUGCUCACAGAGCCCCCACACAGCAUAGGUAGGAAAUCUACCUUUUAAUGUGUUUCAGGGCGACAUAGAUGCUAUCUUUAAGCAUCUCAGCAUAAGGAGUGUACGGGUAGUCAGAGACAAAGACACAGAUAAAUUUAAAGGAUUCUGCUAUAUAGAAUUCGAUGAAGUGGAUUCCCUUAAGGAAGCUUGACAUACGAUGGUGCACUGUUGGGCGAUCAGUCACUUCAUGUGGACAUUGCAGAAGGCAGAAAACAAGAUAAAGGUGGCUUUGGAUUCAGAAAAGGUGUACCAGAUGACGAGGCUUCAGGGAUGACUUCUUAGGAGGCAGGGGAGGUAGUCACCCAGGUGACUGGCAAACAGGCCCCCCAGUGGGCAGUCACUUCAGAGAUGGUCCUCCCCUCCACGGAUCCAACAUGGAUUUCAAAGAACCGACAGAGGAGGGAAGAGCACAAAGACCACGACUCCAGCUUCAACCUCGAAUGUUGUGACGCCCCUCAAUCAAGUAGCCAAUCUCAACUCUGCUCUCUUCGGGGGUGCCAGACCCAGAGCAGAAUUCAUCACAAGGAGCAAGAAUGAGCCUGCGGUUGGGAGGGAAUGGGACGUGGGGGAUUGGAGCAGGACCACAGCCUGGUGAGCCCCUGGGCCGUGUUCCUGCAGCUUCCACUCCCGCACCUGCCACUGGCCUCCCUACAGUGGAAACACAGCUUGUUGAGUGCAUGCCAGCUGUUAACAAGUGGCUUUUAGUACAUUCUGGGCUUUGCUGUAUCUAUCUAGUGCCUGUUUGUGCGUUUUUUUUCUUUCUACCACUGCUUCCCCAUUUUCCUUCUGUUCUUUUCCUCCCAGCUCGUUUUCCUAGCAGCACAUGGGGUUCCCCAGAGGAUCGGAGGUGGCCAUGUCAGGGAGUCAUUUGGGCUGUGGUGCUGCAUCAUUUUUCUCCUUUGCUUUCUCUUUUUACUUUAGACAUUG